CAAAUUAAAUCUAAUAGUUAGAAUUUUAUUUACAGUAAAACCUUAAUUGUGCAAAUCAAUAUAAUUUGA
rnacentral:tRNA from 1 species